rnacentral:rRNA from 1 species
AAACCGCCUAGAGGUAAACGGGUGGAUCCGCAAAGUCGGCCCGAGGAAUUCAGCUCGGAAGGCGCUGCGGCGCGGGCGGCGGGUUAAGAGAUGUGAUCGCACUCUCCCGCUGCUCGACGCCGGUCGGCCGUGUGCACUUUCCUCGGGCAGAGCGCCACGACCGGUUCCUGGGCGGUCAGAAGGCGGCGAGGAAGGUAGGAGGGCGCCUCGGCGCUCUCUGUUAUAGCCUCGCCUGCCCUGAUCCACUCGGGGGACCGAGGAGCCGCCGUCGGCCGUCGAGGCCACUCCGCUCUCCUGGGGAGUUCGACUGGCAGAGACUGGGCAACCGUGUCUGCCGACCGCUUCUCUGGACGGUCGGAGCGGGCCUGGCCGGCACAGGGUCCGUGGCGAAUCGGUCGGCCCUCCACCCGACCCGUCUUGAA